UUUCUGUAGAUUCAAGUGGACGGUU
rnacentral:piRNA from 1 species